rnacentral:rRNA from 1 species
AUAUUAUUGUAUGUUUGAGUCGUUGGUUAGUGGGUUUGCGUGCCUUUAGCAUCAUGCUAUUCUGAGUUUACGGCGUAAAGCCCUCAACCGAAAAGACCAGAUCUCCCACACAGUCGUGCGGUACUCUAGGUGGGUUAUUUUUGUUAACUGUGUGGGCGUGGUGAUAAAUUAGUCGUUGGUCUUUAUAUCUGUUUAUCGGGUUUAGUUUUCUUUUUAUUGUGCUAGUGAUGAGAUUAGCACAAUGUCUAUAUAAGGGGUUGUGUGUAUUGUAGCUUAGGUUAGGAUUACCUGUGUGUCAUCGAGUGUGUCGUGAUUCAGUAGAAGCCUGUUUUGAUUAGCUAAACACCCCGUGUUGUUUAAAUUCAUUUGGUGAUUUAUGGUUUAAUAAGUAAUUAUAACAGUAGUAGUUUUUCUCGGGUCUGGACCAACUGUUUAUUAAAAACAUUUCUGCUUGCUUAGUUAUGAGCAGUACGCCCUGCCCGGUGUAUCAUUAACGGCCGCAGUAUUUUGACUGUGCGAAGGUAGCAUAAU